rnacentral:rRNA from 1 species
UACAGAGGAUGCAAGCGUUAUCCGGAAUGAUUGGGCGUAAAGCGUCUGUAGGUGGCUUUUUAAGUCCGCCGUCAAAUCCCAGGGCUCAACUCUGGACAGGCGGUGGAAACUACCAAGCUGGAGUACGGUAGGGGCAGAGGGAAUUUCCGGUGGAGCGGUGAAAUGCGUAGAUAUCGGAAGGAACACCAGUGGCGAAAGCGGCUCCCUGGUCCAGCACCGACGUUCAGGCACGAAAGCGUGGGGAGCAAACAGG